AUUGAACGCUGGCGGAAUGCUUUACACAUGCAAGUCGAACGGCAGCAUAGGUGCUUGCACCUGAUGGCGAGUGGCGAACGGGUGAGUAAUACAUCGGAACGUGCCCAGUCGUGGGGGAUAACGUAGCGAAAGUUACGCUAAUACCGCAUACGAUCUAAGGAUGAAAGCGGGGGACCGUAAGGCCUCGCGCGAUUGGAGCGGCCGAUGUCAGAUUAGGUAGUUGGGGAGGUAAAGGCUCACCAAGCCGACGAUCUGUAGCUGGUCUGAGAGGACGACCAGCCACACUGGGACUGAGACACGGCCCAGACUCCUACGGGAGGCAGCAGUGGGGAAUUUUGGACAAUGGACGCAAGUCUGAUCCAGCCAUUCCGCGUGCAGGACGAAGGCCUUCGGGUUGUAAACUGCUUUUGUACGGAACGAAAAAGCUCUUACUAAUACUAGGAGUCCAUGACGGUACCGUAAGAAUAAGCACCGGCUAACUACGUGCCAGCAGCCGCAGUAAGAC
rnacentral:rRNA from 1 species